rnacentral:tRNA from 1 species
GGGCAUUUAGCUCAGUGGUAGAGCACUUGCCUAGCAAGCGCAAGGCCCUGGGUUCGAUUCCCCAGCUCCCA